rnacentral:rRNA from 1 species
UACGUAGGGACCGAGCGUUGUCCGGAUUCAUUGGGCGUAAAGCGCAUGUAGGCGGCCAUGUAAGUCGGUUGUGAAAUCCCGAGGCUCAACUUCGGAACUGCAGCCGAUACUGCAUGGCUUGAGGAAGGUAGAGGAGAGUGGAAUUCCCGGUGUAGCGGUGGAAUGCGCAGAUAUCGGGAGGAACACCUAUGGCGAAGGCAGCUCUCUGGGCCUCUCCUGACGCUGAGAUGCGAAAGCGUGGGUAGCGAACAGG